rnacentral:lncRNA from 1 species
GUGCAUUCUGGCGGUGCCGGGAGCGGGGCGAGGAGGAGGGUGGGUAUGAGGCGGUAGCGGACCGCGGAGUCGAGACCUACCCGAACGACGCGGGCGAGCGGGGCUUUGGACGCCGGUGGAGACGCAGGCGAGGAAGAAGAUGAGCCUUAGGUCUGAACGCCGAGGAAUUCAUGUGGAUCCUGUGCAAGAAAGGAUGUGGUUACUGUGGCAACCCUACCUGGCAGGGUUUCUGCUCCAAGUGCUGGAGGGAAGAGUAGCACAAAGCCAGGCAGAAGCAGAUUCAGGAGUACUGGGAGCUGGUGGAACGACUCCAGCGGGAGGAAGAAGAGGCCUUUGCCAGCAGUCAGAGCAGCCAAGGGGCCCAAUCCCUCACAUUCUCCAAGUUUGAAGGAAAGAAAACCAACAAGAAGACCCGCAAGGUUACCACAGUGAAGAAAUCUUCAGUACGUCUUCCAGGGUCGGAUCAAAGAAGGGUAAUGUUGUGAUACUCUUUUUUUUCUUCUCUGCCUGAGUGAGACACAGAGGAGAUCCCCAAUGCUCAUAGGCUCAGCUUUGUAAUUUCUGUCAACUUUUUGAGAACAUCAGCUCAGAUUUGACACUGAAAUUGGGUUUGAGGGUCAGACAGUAUAUGAAACCAAUACUCUCUUUGGUUGAAAGAUAUUGUGUUUUAGAGAAAUUUGUUUACUUUAUAGGAGGAAUAAAGAGAAUUGAAAUAGGUA